rnacentral:rRNA from 1 species
GACGAACCGUGCGAACGUUGUUCGGAAUCACUGGGCUUAAAGGGCGCGUAGGCGGGUUCGAAAGUCUGUGGUGAAAUCCUCCAGCUUAACUGGAGAAGUGCCAUGGAUACUGCGAAUCUUGAGGAGGGUAGGGGCAUCUGGAACGCUGGGUGGAGCGGUGAAAUGCGUUGAUAUCCAGCGGAACUCCGGUGGCGAAGGCGAGGUGCUGGACCCUUUCUGACGCUGAUGCGCGAAAGCCAGGGGAGCAAACGGG